rnacentral:rRNA from 1 species
GCGCAAUGGGCGAAAGCCUGACGUAGCAACGCCGCGUGGGGGAUGACGGCCUUCGGGUUGUAAACCUCUUUCGACAGGGACGAAGCUUUCGGGUGACGGUACCUGUAGAAGAAGCACCGGCUAACUACGUGCCAGCAGCCGCGGUAAUACGUAGGGUGUGAGCGUUGUCCGGAUUUAUUGGGCGUAAAGAGCUCGUAGGCGGUUUGUCGCGUCGGCCGUGAAAACCUGCAGCUUAACUGUGGGCGUGCGGUCGAUACGGGCAGACUUGAGUUCGGCAGGGGAGACUGGAAUUCCUGGUGUAGCGGUGAAAUGCGCAGAUAUCAGGAGGAACACCGGUGGCGAAGGCGGGUCUCUGGGCCGAUACUGACGCUGAGGAGCGAAAGCGUGGGGAGCGAACAGGAUUAGAUACCCUGGUAGUCCACGCCGUAAACGUUGGGCGCUAGGUGUGGGGACCAUUCCACGGUUUCUGUGCCGCAGCUAACGCAUUAAGCGCCCCGCCUGGGGAGUACGGCCGCAAGGCU